UACGGGGGGGGGCAAGCGUUGUUCGGAAUUACUGGGCGUAAAGCGCACGUAGGCGGAUUGUUAAGUUAGGGGUGAAAUCCCGGGGCUCAACCCCGGAACUGCCUUUAAUACUGGCAAUCUCGAGUCCGAGAGAGGUGAGUGGAAUUCCGAGUGUAGAGGUGAAAUUCGUAGAUAUUCGGAGGAACACCAGUGGCGAAGGCGGCUCACUGGCUCGGUACUGACGCUGAGGUGCGAAAGCGUGGGGAGCAAACAGG
rnacentral:rRNA from 1 species